rnacentral:lncRNA from 1 species
AGUUAUCUUGCCCUCAUUUUUUGUUUUUAUUUUCGUCAUCCACAAUUUUCUUGCCUUUUGUGGUUUUAAAAGCACCAGGGGAUUUUUCUCUUAUAUUACCAUGAGAACCUGGUAGAGCUCCAAGUGGAGAGACUCACAAAAGUGUGGGGCUUCCCUAUGAAUAGGUCCUCCUGGAGUUUUUAACUUUCAAGCUUGUCUACACCAAGCCUUCAGCAUUUCAUCAAUUACACUUUAGGUUUUCCUACCAUGGCUCUGCUUCCCACAAAGGCUCUGUCUCAGGGACCAUAUUGGUUAUUUUCUUCCUCUCAAAUAGACCAACUUUUGAAGUCUCAUCUAUCAAAUAAAAGUAAGUAAAAGUUAAUUAAUGUGUUUUCUCAAUUUUGUUCAAAAAAUUAUAGAUGC